CUGCCCAGGAAAAGUGUUGUUUUCAUAAUAUGUCCCCUUUUAAUGAGUUUUAAUUUUGCAUUUGUUUUACAUGGUAAGCCCCCUGAUCUAUUUUUCAGAGAAGCCUUCCUUGCCCAGUAUGCACCAGGACAUUAAGUAAAAACAUUGAAGUAGAAAGAAGUACUAUCACGAUUAUAUAUUGAAUGACAUGGAAGAAGAGGGAAGAUAAGCUGUCGCAGUCACUUAUUUAUUAUUAGGCCGAAAGAUUAAUUUUUUUUGAAUGUUUAUGAAAUGUUGUGCUGCUGUGUGAGGCACAUGCUGCACUGCCCUCCUCUUCAUGUGUGCAGUGCAGGCUGUUUUGUAAAGAGGUUUGCCACGUGAUCAAAUGACACAACCCUCUCCUCCUCACUCACCAUGACCUUAACCCCACAUACACACUCGCACCAAGACACUAUCCCCUUAACCACCUCCUUCAAGUUCGGUUUCCCCAAACACAACGGGCGAACUGCCGGUCUGCCACAUAGCUACAGAACAGCUUGCAUACAGGAAGUCCCCUCAGCCGAAUAGGACUCAGGACAGAGGGGUCACAGACAGGUCAUAGGGCGGUUUGUGAGAAAGGAAAGGAAGGAAAGUGGGGAUUUGAGAGCUGGUGACUUGGCUGGGAGAGCUAGCCUAGUAACGCUAACGUUAAUCCCAUCUGAGCUCGACGUGGCUAGCUUUAGCCUAGCUGUGCAUUCUAGAACAGUCAAUGUUUUUUCGUUGCUGGAUUUCAAUCGGGUACCUCUGGCUUUUCCAAAACCAAACCUUUCACAGAGUAUCAGAAAGACACCGGAGGCGACGAAUGUAUCACCGACGCAUACGUCUGCUGACUAAUCAAAUGAUGGUGGAUCGUCCACCUAUGUAUUGAAGGGUGGAUGCGACUGUGCCCAUCCUGCGGAUAUGGCGCGAUGAGGGGGCUGAACUGUGGAAAGACUUUCGCCUGUCCAGACGUGCCAUGAACAGCCUGCAGAGGCUCCUGGACAGGGGGCAAGAUCAUGGUUGGGGGAAUCAAUUUGAAAUCCUGAUCUACACAUAUUGGCUUGCCAAUGGUUUGUCAUACCGGGUGGUAUCCAGUGUGUUCAGUGUACCGAAGGCAACUGUGCACAGAGUUAUACACCGGGUGGCACAAAGUAUCUGGAACAAUUUGAACAGGGUGAACUCCUUCCCACAGGCCUAUGUGGAAAGCAGUAGGGCAAGGGUUUGCUGAUCUAUCAGGGACCCCUGCUUUUGCAAAUGUUGUCGGGGCAAUCGAUGGAACACAUAUUCGGAUCAAGCCACCACAACUACAUCGAUUAGACUAUCUAAAUUACAACAACUUUUAUUCAAUUAACAUGCAGGCCAUAUGCGAUGCAAAGGGGACAUUUUUGGACAUUUUUGUGGGCUACCCAGGGUCUGUCCAUGACACAAGGGUAAUGAAAAACAGUUAUUUUUAUUUGACUGCCAGGUAUCCACCGCGGGGUUACAUGCUUUUAGGUGAUGGUGGGUACCCCUGCCUCCAGACGCCCGUAUGUCUGUUGACUCCCUAUAAAGAGCCGGUGAUUGGGCGGGUGCAGCAGCGCUUUAAUUACCGCCAAUCCAAGGCGCGUUCUGUGAUAGAGCGGGCCUUCGGGAUGAUGAAGACAAGGUGGAGGUCAACCCUUUUCCGGGCACUAGAAGUCAAGCCUACCUUUGCCCCCCAGGUCAUUGCUUCCUGUGCCUUCUUGCACAAUGUUUGCUUAAAUAAUGGAGACACACUGGAUCCUGAUGAAGACAUUGCCAGGGAUGACCUUGACCCCCAUCCCCCUCAAGAACAAAUUGGACUCAAUGAAACACCAGGAUUUGUUAUCCGAGACUCACUGGCUGCCCAAGUCUCAUAUGAAUUUUAAAUGUUAUUACGCUUAUUUAUCACUUGUAAAUCGUUUUUCUACAGUUCCCUGUUGGUUUUUAUGUUCCCUUACAAGUUUAUCCUGAUGAUUAUGUUCAUACCUUGUUAUUUAUUUGUUGAUUGAUUGUUAGAAAAAAAAUGUUUGAAAUCUAUCUGCUAGUAGAUAGUUACUAUAAUAGUUACUAUCUAAACUAUCUACUAACUAUUUUAAAUGUAAUUACGCUUACUAAUCACUUGUAAAUAGUUUUUCUACAGUUACCUGUUGGUAUUUAUGUUCCCAUACAAGUUUAUCCUGAUGAUUAUGUUCAUACUUUGUUAUUUACGUAUUUGUUGAUUGAUAGUUAAAAAAAGAACGUUUUAAAACGAUCUGCUUCUUGUAGCAUUUAUCACACAUAGAAAAAACCUUUUUAAACAAGAAUAUUUAUUUGUUCAACAAGUAACAUUAAAAUUAGAAAUAUAUAUAACAAUAAUAAAUAGGAAUAAUAAAUAGCAUAAAUUAAUAAAUAGCAAGAAUAAAAAACAUAGGAACAACAAUAAUCAAUAAUUAUAAUUUGUUGACCAUCCUCUCAAAGAGAUCCAGAAAGCGAUCCGUCUUGGCCUCACUUUCUUUAUGGCGCCUCUGCUCCUGAAGGGCCUCCUCAGCCAGGAGUUCUGCCACUGUUUUUGACCUCCUUCGUGGUGGUAUGAUGGAUGUGGUAGGGUGUACUGGGGUGCUGGCUGCUGUCGGGGGUGCUUGGGUGUAGGGCUCCACCAUCUCCUAAAGAAAUGGGGUCUUGAAUAGAUGACACAAGGACUGGUGGGUCAAUUGCUGGCCGGGCACCAAGAACCUUGUGCAUCAAAUCAAAAUACUGCCAAGUCGCCACAGUCACCUCUCCACUUUCAGUCCCCGACCCAGUUUUGGGAGUCCUCAAAUCCUGACAAAACAAACACACACACACACACACACACACACACACACACACACACACACACACACACACACACACACACACACACACACACACACACACACACACACACACACA